GGGCGCUGCUCCUCCUCCCUCCUUCCCACCGGCCCACGUGGCCACCAAACUCCUUUCCUGGUUAUUCAGACCUCUGGGCCAGCGCACUGCCUCAAGGAAGGCCUCCCAGACUGCACACUCCGGCCCCCGCAGUCCGCUGAGACCCCUCCGCCCCGGCGGCGUCUCCCAGCACCGGGUCCCCAGCGCCCAGCGCGGUCUGGCGCUGCAGCGGCGCCCGCGGGAGGCUGCGCGCCAGGGGAGGGCGCCUGGGCCGAGGGGCGAGGUGGCACCUCGAGGCCUCCGGCCCGAUCCCUGCCCAGCAGGGCGCCACCGGCCUGUCCCACACCCUCUCUGCCGCCUGCCCAGUGACCUAAUUAUUGUUUUUUCUUCCAGCCCCUGCGGAGGGGAAAAGAGAAAUUCCUGGAGGAUGACACAGGCCCGCCGCCGUGGGGACGCACGGGACCGGCUGGGCCGGCUGCGCCCCCGCCGCCGCCUAACUACAGAGCGCACCGACAUCGCCACGGCCGGCCCGGCCAGGCCUGUGGGCGCCCUGAUUCUGGGGCCGGGGGCCGGGGCUGGGGCGGGACUGCGGGUCCUUGGCACUGCGUUGGCCUGCGGGGGCAGCGCCUGGGGCUCACGGAGGAGGGCAGAGGGGGAGGGGUCCCUGCCCUCUGGGCAGGAACACGGGGCGCCCUGUGUUGAGGCCCUUGCCCUCAGCCCUCAGUCAUCGUGGGUUGUGCAUGUGGCUGCUCCCCAGAGCUAGGCCCCGGAAGGAGGCAGAGACUUGACACUGCGCUGGGCCUCGAUUCCCCAUCUGUGCAGUGGGCUGAUAGCGGGAGAGUGAGGUUUUACCAAGCUGGGGAAUCAAACCCAGGGCCUCCUGCAUGCUACGCAAGCGCUGUACCACCCUGCACACCCCCAGCCUGUAGCAGCUAACAGAUGCCGCCCGCCUCAGCACUGGGGAUUGGACCUCAGGAUUGUGGCCUCGAAGACCAUGUUGGAUGGCCGCUCCAGGGGGACCCAGGAAGAGCAGGUGCCCCGGAAAGGUGGGGAGUGCACAGGAAGUCACAGAAGAACCCAGAUUCAGAUAUUCCUCGAAGACAGUAUGUGACGCCUGCUUCUUUUCCUGACUUAAAAGAAUGCCUGCUUAUUGAGGAGGAUGUGGGAACUACUGAGAAGUACAAAGAAAACAGAAAUCACCUGUCAGCUCAUUACUCAGCGUCCUCAUCAGAGCUCAUUGUGACCGGCAUAAGUGUGGUAGCCCUUGGACCAAGGAAUGAGUCUACCAGAAGUGAUCAGGUGAAUUUGAAAAAGACCACACAGAAUUUCAAGAAAUGACAAAUACAAGUGAAAUCCUAAAAAGUCAUGACAGAGCUGGGAGACUGAAGCCCAGGCUAGAAAGGGAGCUCCAGAAGCCAGAACAUGCGAAGGACAUUGUGCAUAGAAGAGAGCACAAGAAAGCAAUGCCAUAACUUUAUGACCCUCAGGGUCUUCUCCCAGUGUGCAUGGUUGGAUCUGUCCCAAAACAGAAUGUGAAGGGUUUGAGACCUGAACUGUGGGGUGGACCGUCUCCCAGGUCCCAGUCUGGCCACUUGUCCUGGACUCGUGAAACCCAGCCAGAUGGCACUGUGGAAAUCUGUGAAACUGAGCUGAUACUGGAACCAGAGCCCAUAGAAAGUGAAUUUUAGACUGGACCUCGCCUAGGUCUAUUGUCUGUUAAAAUCAAUCAAGAGAUUAAUAAGUCAAUAUUUUCCUUGGGGUUUAAAUAAGACCUACAGUCACCAUGAGUUCAAGGCCAGCCUGGGCUACAUAUCGAGACCCUGUUUUAAAAAAAAACCCAGAACAAAUAAGCAUACAGAAGAACCAAAAUAUAAUUAUAGAAAUAGAAAUAAAAGAACAAAAGAGUUGGAAGGGUUCAAGACCAGAAUGGAAGAGAUGACAGUAGAAGGAUAGAUCUACAGGAAUUAUCCAAUCUGAACCACAGAGAGAAAAAGAUUGAAAAAACUUUGAGCAGAGUCUCAGGAAACUAUGGAGCAAUACCAAAAUGACAAAUACUCCUGUCAUCAGAGUCCUAGAAGGUGUGGACAAAGCACAGUUCAAGAAAUAAGAAGGGAACAAGAAUGGCUGGAAACUUCUCAAAAUUACAGGCUCAAGAAACUCCUUAAAGCUGGAGUUUUAGCUCAGUGGUUUCGCCACCUGCCUUGCAAGCAAGGACCCAAGUUCGAUCCCCAGCACCAAAAAAAAAAAAAAAAAAGAAAAAGAAAAAGAAAAAGAAACUCCUUAAACUUCAAACAGUUUAAGUUCAAAGAUAUCCACUUCUAGGCACAUGAUAAUCCAACUUCCUUAGAGACAAAGAUAUCUCCAAAGUGGUCAGAGAAAAAUAGAACACUUGUUUGUCAGUAUCUCACCAGAAACCAGGGAGGCUAACAGGAAGUGAAACAGUAUUUAUGAAGUGCUAGAAGAAAAGGACCACCAACCUGCAGUUCUAUACCCAGUGAAAAUAUCCUUUAGGAAAGGGAAUGAAAUAAAGGUAUCCUGACAUGAAGGAAAGCUUGGAGACUUUGUCACCAGCACACCAGCACACCUUUGUUUCUAAAACAAGUGGUAGAGGAAGUUCCUCCCAUGGAAGAGAGAUGACAUUAGAUCGAAAUGUGGAAUGACAGGAAUGAAGUGUGAAGGACAGAAAUGAUAAAUGUCUGAGUAAAUGUUCUGUUUCUUGUAUCUAAAAUAUGACUGAUGGUUGAAAACAAAAAUUCUGACAUUGUUUGAUGAGGUUUUAAAUGCAGACUGAAUGUACAGUAUAAAGAAAGGAGGACAGAUGGACUUCAGUGAUGAGAAGUAUUCCAUAUACCACUGAAAUAGUAUUUAUCCUAAGUAUUUAUACUAACCGUGGAAAGUUAAGAAUGUAUGUGAAAAGCCCAGAACAACCACCAAAAUAUUUUACAAACAGAUGUAGUAAAGAAUACAAUCAACAAAAUGUAUAAAUUAGACCAUAGAUAUGUAUGAUGAAUAAAACAGUAUUUUAAAUUGUACCCCUCCCUCCUGUGCAGUACUGGGGAUUGAACCCAGGGCCUCAUCCAUGCUCGGCAAGCACUCUACCACUGAGCUGCACCCCCACCUCAGAGUAUUUAAAGUUUGGCACCAUCUGCAGUUUCAGGCCUCCACAGCGGGUCUUGGAAGACAC
rnacentral:lncRNA from 1 species